AAUUGAUAAUUGUUCAGAUACUAAGUGUUGUUGCUUUUUGCCAUCUUCAAGGCGUCGUGCACCGUGACCUAAAGCCCGAGUGAAGAUGUUGAUAUGAAGCUUAUUGAUUUUGGUCUUUCCGAUUUCAUUAGGCCAGAAGAAAGGCUUAAUGAUAUAGUUGGAAGCGCGUAUUAUGUUGCGCCAGAAGUUCUGCAUAGAUCGUACAGCUUGGAAGCGGAUAUAUGGAUUUCG